UGAUUUAUUUUUCUGAUUAUGUUUGAAGUUUGCAAAAUGUUUUUCUAUUUUCUUUCGCAUUGAUUCCAGGCGGUAUUUGUGAGUGAUCACUACCCAAUAGAAUUAGAAUUGUACUCACAAGGACUCUACAAAGCCUUACAGUCCAUCCAAGAGACCACAGAGUAUAAGUUCUACUCACAGUCCCCUCCCUCCCUUACAAACAAAGASAUAUACAGAAUUCGCUAUAAAUCCAAUCCACUUUUAUCCAAAGGAUUUGUAGARGAAACACUGAAGUCUUACUCAGGAGCCAUUGCAGUUAUUACCAACAAAAAGAAAGUGACAACAUCCCAAGAUGCUUUGCAAGCAUUUGCAUUGAUAUAUUCGCAUUGGGCAAGACUGAUCACCAAAGACCAAGUCGACUUGGCCUCGCACAAAGUUGAAGUUGAUUAUAAAAAGAAAUCUUUUCAAAAUGCUUAUGUCAAGCUUGUUUGUAGAAAAAUACCAUUGCCUGUUGAGUGCUUGGUAGCAAUGGAAAUAUAAAAAAAUGUGAAAAUCAA